CAUCAAAGUGGAGGCCCUCUCUUGGGCCCGAGCUAGAAAGUGCUUCCACUUUGUGUGC
rnacentral:pre_miRNA from 1 species